UCCCCCCUCAGCUGCUCUGCAAAGGGGUGCCCGUGUUCUGGAGGACAGCGAGCUCAUGCGGGGUGCACGGUGCCCAGGCAGCUCUGCCCCUUCUCCUGAGCCGCAGACCAGGCCGCGGCUGGGGCUCUGGCCAGGAUCGUGGCGGAUCUCGGGUCCAUUGACUUCAGCAGAUGAUUGACACCAGAUGGCCCACCAUGUUUGAUAUUAUUACAUUAAGGACCAAGUACAGCAGCCUCUGAAGAGAUCAGCAGCUGGGGAGCAUUUUGGAUAUCCAAAUUCCUAAUGACCCCAGAGUAGUAUUCCCAAACCUCUUGGCAGUUCCAAAUUUCAUGCCAAAAGUUGCAGGCAUCUGUCUUACAUUUUGAACAUUUGUCAUCAAUAUUCUUACUUAAUUUAAACAUCCGCUUAGGGGGGUCAUGUAUUCUCAAUGAAUAAAAUUAGCUGCAUGUAACCAAUCUGUGAAUUUGAGUUUAAUCAUAGAGCUCCGGUCUGGUUACAGAUGUCUUUGUCCAAGGACUGUAGUUUACUACUGAAUGCCUUCCCCAUUAGCUCGGGGAUUAUCAAGCAAGGAUUUAUACCGUGUAGAAACCUUUUUCCUUUCUAAAUACAAAACUGAAUGCUCUCACUGGGGGGAUUAAAUUCAGACUCUCUGGAAGACCUACAGCUGGUUAUCUCCUUUAGCACUGAUUUUGCAAUCCAUACUAAGGUGAGGGACAGGGCAUGGUCUCACUGCCUUGGGAAAAUAGCAAAGAUCAAAUUGCCAAUGUAAGUCACAAUUCAGUUCCUGCUCCCUCUUGCUCCUGGGGGAGAAACAAGGUUGCCACCACCUAUUUUUCUGGGUCAGUGUUGGCUGUAGCUUUGAAGUUGCGCAGUCAAAGCUCUCCCACCUCUCACUCCUUUGCUUCAGCCUUUGCUGCUCACUUUGCUUGCGGUGCCCACUCACUGCCCAGUGCAGGUGUAGAAAGGGGGUGAACAGCUGAGCCUAUGGAAAAGGACAUGGUUUCCCCUCUCUGAAAUCAUCAUUAUGAUGUGGUAAUUCAUCACAAAUGUCUCAAAUCCUUCUUUGUAUCAUAGAUGUUCUGCACAGAUGUGAAUGCCAGUUUCUCACGUAGCACAAUUUAAUUAAUUCAUCCAUUUUAGCAGAACUGUAGCUUUGAUCUGACAGCAAUGGAAGAAUACUAGCAGUGAAUAAACU